rnacentral:lncRNA from 1 species
AGGGUGUUAGGCAAAAGCUGUCCAGGAAGGGUGACCCACCUUCUCUUUAAGAGCUCUGCCAGGUCCUCAGCAGAAAAGAUGGCUGAUCUUAACCAUGAAUAGCAAUAAUGGGGAUGCUACAGACCUUCAUCAGGGUUUAUCUAAACUGUAUCAGCCAGAGAGAAUCUUAAUGGUCACUGCAACACAUCAAAUAGACCCCAGCUCAGCUAAAUUAUGUGGUCUGGAAGUCAGGUUUAAUUAUAACCUUUGCUGUCAAUCCUGACACACGAAGCUGUAAACAAAUAAGAAUUCCCUCUGAAGCUCACCAAGCCAUCUUGAAGUUUGCACUGGAUUUGCUGAUUUUAAGCAGUUGGAGGAGUGGAUUCUUCAUGAUCUCUCAGCUCUGUGAGUCUGUAAAGUUGCUUCUGGCUCAUGUCCAAUUCAAGGCAACAAUAAAUUGUUUUAGUCUUUUACA